rnacentral:rRNA from 1 species
GACGAACCGUGCGAACGUUAUUCGGAAUCACUGGGCUUAAAGCGCGUGUAGGCGGGAGGGCACGUCCGUUGCUGAAAUCCCCCGGCUCAACCGGGGAACGGGCGCGGAUACGACUCUCCUUGAGGGGCGUAGGGGGACCUGGAACUUCCGGUGGAGCGGUGAAAUGCGUUGAUAUCGGAAGGAACGCCGGUGGCGAAAGCGGUCCGCUGGCCCUCUACUGACGCUGAGGCGCGAAAGCCAGGGGAGCAAACGGG